CAUUUUCAUUGGUACAUUAACGUCAGGUCAUCAAGGUAAAGAUGAAAACAUUAUCAUAUGGCUUGAUUAUACUAGCAGUUAUCGUGAUUGUUCAGUCUCAGAUUCCCGGAAUAAUUAAAGGUUGUCCAGGCUGCAGCGUAAAAGGGGUAUGUUACUUUCCUAACCAAGAGUGGAAACAAGGAUGUUGGACGAAGAAAUGCGUCGUCUACUCUUCCGGUAAUCUGCAAGGAUGGAAAACAUCAAUAGUAAAAACACAAUGUCCAGAUAAUCUUGGUAGAUGUGUCGAUCACGGUCAACAAGUUGCAGAAGGAUGCUUCUGUAAAGUGUCAGGAUGGCAGUGGUCAGUGAUAGGAAAAUGUUAUGGAAAAUGAAAUAAAAAAUGAGUAAUAAAAUAUUGUCUUGAAGUGC